UACCAGCACCCCGAGUGGUCGGGACGAUUAUUGGGCCUAAAGCAUCCGUAGCCGGUUUUACAAGUCUUCCGUUAAAUCCACCUGCUUAACAGAUGGGCUGCGGAAGAUACUAUAGAGCUAGGAGGCGGGAGAGGCAAGCGGUACUCGAUGGGUAGGGGUAAAAUCCGUUGAUCCAUUGAAGACCACCAGUGGCGAAGGCGGCUCACUGGCCCGUAACUGACGCUGAGGUGCGAAAGCGUGGGGAGCAAACAGG
rnacentral:rRNA from 1 species